UGGGGAAUAUUGCACAAUGGGGGAAACCCUGAUGCAGCGACGCCGCGUGAGCGAUGAAGGCUUUCGAGUCGUAAAGCUCUGUCCUAUGGGAAGAUAAUGACGGUACCAUAGAAGAAAGCCCCGGCUAAUUACGUGCCAGCAGCCGCGGUAAUACGUAGGUGGCGAGCGUUAUCCGGAUUUACUGGGUGUAAAGGGCGUGCAGGCGGGCUGAUAAGUCAGAUGUGAAAUCCCCGAGCUUAACUCGGGAACUGCAUCUGAUACUGUUGGUCUUGAGUGCUGGAGAGGAUAGUGGAAUUCCUAGUGUAGCGGUAAAAUGCGCAGAUAUUAGGAGGAACACCAGUGGCGAAGGCGGCUAUCUGGACAGUAACUGACGCUGAGGCGCGAAAGCGUGGGUAGCAAACAGG
rnacentral:rRNA from 1 species